rnacentral:rRNA from 1 species
GACGAACGCUGGCGGCGUGCUUAACACAUGCAAGUCGAACGGAAAGGCCCUGCUUUUGUGGGGUGCUCGAGUGGCGAACGGGUGAGUAACACGUGAGUAACCUGCCCUUGACUUUGGGAUAACUUCAGGAAACUGGGGCUAAUACCGGAUAGGAGCUCCUGCUGCAUGGUGGGGGUUGGAAAGUUUCGGCGGUUGGGGAUGGACUCGCGGCUUAUCAGCUUGUUGGUGGGGUAGUGGCUUACCAAGGCUUUGACGGGUAGCCGGCCUGUGAGGGUGACCGGCCACAUUGGGGCUGAGAUACGGCCCAGACUCCUACGGGAGGCAGCAGUGGGGAAUAUUGCACAAUGGGCGGAAGCCUGAUGCAGCAACGCCGCGUGCGGGAUGACGGCCUUCGGGUUGUAAACCGCUUUCGCCUGUGACGAAGCGUGAGUGACGGUAAUGGGUAAAGAAGCACCGGCUAACUACGUG